GCUCCCGCCCGCUCCCGGCUGCCCUUUUCCUCCGCGGCCUCUGCCGAGGCUGUUGUGUCCUGCGGAGCUCCGAGCACGUGUAGUGCCCAGCUGCCAGUUUGAGGAGAUGCCUGUCCUGGAUGACUUGAAAGUAGAGUGGUCAUCGACAGGCUGAAAGAAGUAAUGAUCCACAACAGGGCGCAUGUGUGGUUCUCAGAUCUGAAUGAGAUCUGCCUCCAUCAGGACUUCAGGUUUCUGACAACACCCUGUUUUGAGUAAUGUACAUGGUCUCUGUAAUGUAGAGGUACUUCAGUUCAGAUGGGGAAAAUUAAGUUUGCUUUAGAGGAUUACAGAACUGUGAUUCCAGAGAAUGCUUGUAAAGUCCAGCUACCCUUUGGCAGAUGAAGCAGUGAAGGAGCCCACACCCAUGGCCUCUGAGUUACAUCUCCAGCUAUAAUUUUUAGAGGGACUAGAUGAUGUCUGUGUACAUGUGGCUGGCUACUUGCUAAUUAAAAAGUAAGUGAUUUUCAGACAUCUGUUUGGAUGGUAGCCAUCUUAGGACAGCUUAGAAUGUUCCAGAAAGUUUAGGAUAUUGCUUUUUAAAAGCAAAAGUUUGGGAAGUUCUUUUAAUGGCCCAAGAUAGUAAGUAUUGUUAAUAUUGUCUUUAGUUUUGCAACUAUGUUGCUUCUGUGUGUGAAAAGCAAUGUAUCAGCAAAUGAACAUGGUUAUAUUCCAGUAAAACAUAACUGAUGAACACUGACAUUGGAAUUUCAUUGGCAUUUUCAGAGUCGACAUUCCCAAAUGUUUGAAAGCUUAAGAUUUUCCCAAGGAACACUUACAGAGAUAGCGGAAUAUUUCUGACCUCUGAAGUUUAGGCCUUGAGGCUUGAAAAGCAUUAGUCCCAGUAUCAAAAUAUAUCUUCACACUUUUUACAUAGUCCUCCUGGGUUAGCCUUCUAAGUAUAGAUUCAUGAACCACAUGACAAUCUUAUUGGUAUUCCUUAUUGUAGAGGAAUAAGGUGACUAAAUUAUCCUGAAGAAACAGAACAUCCUUAUUUCUUAUCCCUGGGUUUAUAUGGCUUCUAUCAUAGUGUUUUUCUCUGUUUAUAGGGAGCUUAAAGUGAAAUUUAAUCAUGUGUAUGACAUGUAUGUGUCUGCCUCUGGAGGGCAGAAGAGGACUUUGAAUCCCCUGGAAUGAGUGCUGAGAACUUAGUGAUCUAGAGGACCAGCAAGAUUAACCACUGAGCCAUCUGUCCAGAUAAAACACUUUUUGAGAUAGGUCCUCUUUUUUUUGGUUGGCCUCAUACUCAAACUGCCUCCAUCCCUGAAGUGCUGGAAUAAUAGGUGAGGACUAUCACAUCUGGCAGAUUCUGCAGCCUCUGUCUCCUGAGUUAUGGAAUUACAGAUGCCACAUCUGGUUGAUCACAGUUUUGGAGACAGUCUUAUGUAACCAAGACUGGCCUUAAACUUAAUACAGAACAGUAACCUACUGUGUCUUGAAAGCAUUCGGAUACCUGCAAGUACCACCAUGCCCUUCCUGCAGCAAUUUUAAUUUUGUAUCUGCAUUAAGUGUGGGAAUGCAUAUGCUACUCAACAGUGCUAAUGGGCAUCAGAGGGUAACACGUUUUGCCACAUGAGUCCUGGGAACUAGGUUGUCAGGCUUGCCCAGAGGCAGCUUUACCCAGUAAGCCUCCGGCAGGAAAUUGGGUCUUAGACUGUUGAGGCUGCCUUCCUGGCCAUGGGUAGGGAUGCCCACAGCAUAGUUUACUGUGAUUUUGAAAGAGGAUAAUACUGUGGCUAUUAAUGCAUGGAUUCACUGGCCUAGGUGGUUUCAAUGCCAUAGAUAGUGCAAUUAAAGCAAUUUUAAUGGGAUUUUCUAAUUGAUAAGUGGAGUUAAUUAGUUUAUUAGUUGAAUCAUUAAAGCAUUCAAAACAA